rnacentral:rRNA from 1 species
GGAGAGUUUGAUCCUGGCUCAGGACGAACGCUGGCGGCGUGCCUAACACAUGCAAGUCGAACGGUAAGGCCCUUCGGGGUACACGAGUGGCGAACGGGUGAGUAACGCGUGAGUAACCUGCCCUUGACUCGGGGAUAACAGAUGGAAACGUCUGCUAAUACCGGAUACUCAGCUCUGUUGGCAUCUUCAGAGUUGGAAAGCUCCGGCGGUCAGGGAUGGACUCGCGUCCUAUCAGCUUGUUGGUGGGGUAACGGCCCACCAAGGCGACGACGGGUAGCCGGCCUGAGAGGGCGACCGGCCACAUUGGGACUGAGAUACGGCCCAAACUCCUACGGGAGGCAGCAGUGGGGAAUAUUGCACAAUGGGCGCAAGCCUGAUGCAGCAACGCCGCGUGCGGGAUGACGGCCUUCGGGUUGUAAACCGCUUUCAGCAGGGACGAAGUGAAAAUGACGGUACCUGCAGAAGAAGCACCGGCUAACUACGUGCCAGCAGCCGCGGUAA